GUGCGCGAUCCGGUCUCCCUCCUCUCUCUGCUUCUUUUCCUUCCUCCGUUCUCUCUCUCUUCGAGAUAAUUUGAGGACCCUCUUCUUUGUCUCUGCGAAGGAUGAAGAACAAGGAAAGAGGAGGAUCUCUCCCGUCCGGAAACCCUAAAUUUCGAGGUCCCUCUUCUUUGUUUCUAUGUCAAGGAUCUGAUCCAAGAACAAGAAAGAGGAGGGUCUCUCUCCUCCGGAAACGAUAAUCUCCUUCAAGAAUUUUGAGGCCCCUCUUCUUUGUUUCUCUGCGAACGACCCAAGAACAAGGAAAGAGGAGGGCAUUCUAGGGAAAUGGGGAUCAUGGUGGACUCAAAACCUAGAUCCUGGCCAGCCAUAAUUUGAAGAGAUACUUCUGCUCGAUACGUUGUUAAUGUGAUUCUCUUGCUAUCUCGCUCUAAUAUAUAUUUAAUUAUUGAUUCUUAAAUAGGGGAUCUGUUCCCAUGAUCUGUUGUGAGAUAGUGAGAUGGCUGUCUUUUCUUCCUUUGAUUGAACUGGAGCGAUGUUAGGUUCAGCAAAGUGAGAACUUAUUGUUGCGUUGUAUGUGAUCCUAGUUUUGUAGUUGCCGGAAGCAAUCGUUUUGUUAAACUAAACGAUUUUCUUGGGAUGUCAAUGAUCCGUUGUACCUAAAAACAAGGUGAAGUAGUUAAUUUGUCUGUAUCACUCAGUAGUCUGCUUCAACGAAUCCAAGAACAAGGAAAGAGGGGCCAUAGAUCACAUCCUUCCUGUUCUGUGGGGGACUCAGAUCCCGGAGCCUCUCUCUCCAGUGAAACCUUGAAGAGUUCUUUUUGUUAUUGAAAGCAAUAUCUUCAGAUGAAUUUCUUGAGAUGUGAAGUUUUUGAUGUCGAUCUGAGAACAUGGCAAAGCUCAGUUUAUUUGUUUUUAUGUACUUGGUACUAUGAUUCACUUCAUCUUAUCUGUGAAAUCAUAUACACAGAGUGUAUUUAUGGUGAUUUAUUUUGAAAUCGCACAUCACCAUCAUAAUCAUAAUGCCCAGCACUUCAGGACCAUCUGAUCUGUUGUUAACUAUCAAUGCCUGAUUACAGAAGAUUUGAAUGCCUUUCCCAUUUAUGGUUGCUCUCUCAUGUAACAUUUGCAUUUUAUCAGCACAUGCUAGUUUAGAGUUAACUGGUGAUGCUUGUGGAUCUGGUUUGAUCUUGCUUUUUGCCUAGAAUGAAAAUUGGCUUGUUAUUUGUUUAUGGACUACUAUAAUUAUGUUCAUAUUUUAAAUCUUAUUAGUUCUGUACUUUAUGUCACUCUAGAUAGAGCUGAUGCUAACGGCUUUCAAUGAUUCAUCAUUAUAAUAUUUUUAUUAACAUAUCUUCCCUUGAACUCAAAAUAAUGUGGCUUAAUUGCAGUAUAAUGAAGCAAUAAUACCCUGCUGUGACUCAAGGUAAAGUCUCAUCUCUCUCCACAGCAUCCUGCUAUGUGCUGCAGUCAUAGCUUACAACUAAUUUAGUUAGCUACAUGUAGAUAAAGCCUGUGUUAAGGAGUUUGACCUGAAAUCCAUGUGGGAGAGCGCAAAUGGCACAUUCAGGAAUAUGUUAUAAUUUAAAUGAUUGGAUAAUCUGCCUUGACUGCAUUCUAAUGGUUGGUAUUGCCUAGGUAAUCUAUGGUCCUAAACUGAGCAGGAUGGAGGAAAAGAAUUCCUGUAGCUAACCCCAACUAGUUUGGGAUCAAGUCUUAGUUGAGUUGAGUGCCUAGGGGAUUACAAAUUCGGCUGUGAGAAUAUAAUUUUGUUUGGCCACGGCAUGCAUCCUAUGGAUAUCAGGUAAUGUUCCUAAACAAGUUCUUUUUAUAUAUAAAGAAAAAACUAUAGUGCAAGUUAACUACAAGCUUACCCACCUUCAUAAGAUAUCCAUUGCUUCGCUCAUAAGAAUGCCUUUUUAUAUUAGUAUAGAAGCUGAUUCUAUGGUUUUUCUUAUUUUGAGCUGCCUAACUUAUAUAGUAUUUUCUUUUAUUGGUUUCAGAGCAAUUGAACCUUUUUUUUACACUUCCGAUGAAUUCUGCAAUGUCAUUCUACAGCAAUGUGAUAUCUGUGUUAAAAACUUAAGUUUCAAACUGAAAUGGUAUAGCAUGUUUCGUUUUGGACUUCAAGCUUGUUAGAUUUUGCUAGUCUUCAUAGAGGCUGACAUUGAUCUUGAUUAUUCUUGUACUCAAAAUCUAUAAUUUUUUCUGAGUUCUAUAACAAUUUAUUCAUAUUCCUGAAAUCUGAAUUUUCUGUAUGGAAGUUGUCAAGAUCCAAAAAAAAAGGAACAAUAACAUUUAUUAAUAUUAUGAUUUUUCUGGGCAAAGGCUCCGCACUUUUGAGAUCUCACCAAUUAGCUGUGUUGCACCCUAGUGUUUCCUUGAGUUCCUCCAGUGUAUGUGUCACGCUCCGAACCCAGAGCAUAACAGACGCUGCAUGCCUGUAUAGCAGACCAUAUACGCAUGCAAGGCUAUUGAUUAUAUCAAAGCAAUAAUAAUUCUUGAAAAGUUAUUUAAUCAAGAAUUUAUUCACAUAAUUCUUACAAUAGUUCCAAGGUCACAUAAGUCAAUAUAUGCUAACUAUUUACUUAAAUUAAAUAAAAUAUUCUAUCUAGUCUAAAUAGUUCGACUAGAACUCCAAUAACUAAAAGUAUCUUUGGAAGAUCUAGUGCACUUUUCCAAGUUCUAAGCAAUUAUGCAUUUGGAUCUGAAAAAAAGAAAGUAUGAUAAUGAGCUACACUGGCUCAGUAAGUAACAUAAUAUCCUGACCCCAUGCCAGAUAGUUAGCUAAGAAGCAAGAUAUUGACUGAAAAAUAAAUCAAUUCUCGAAUAAUACAUAUAUCUCUUUUAAAAUUUAUUAUUAUUUUUAUAAAUUGAUACUAGAAAUCCAACAUCAGGCUAUGACCACAUAAUCCAGUGGCAUGGGUCAGAAUGUACAAAGUGCCAAACACUACUAUUCUUAACUACCGGUGGUACGGUGUCCAAAUAUCAUUAUUCUAAUCACCGGUGGUGCCGUGUCGAAACUAGUUUCUCAUAUUACAAGUCGACAAGGCCAACGAAUAAUCCUCAUUACCGGGGCCAGAUCAUAGUCGUGUUGAGAAUACAUACAUAUAAAACAAAUUUUUCAUAAUUUGCCCAGUCAUAUUUUCAGAUUUUAUAAUAUAAUACAUAAUAUAUUUUACAAUAAUUACUACCAUAACGUUAACAUGCCUGACCUGUUUAACUAAGUAUAAAACAUAUAUCAUAAUUAAAUUUAAUCAACUAUUAUUUUACUAAAAAUUCAGAAAACACCCUUUGAAGCAUUAGGUUAUUUACCUCUUAUUACUUCAAAAUUCCACUCCAAUUAGACAGGUCAGGUUUGCCUGCUUUAAUAUCAUUAAAAUACAAUUAAUUUUUAUCAAUAUCCUAAAAGCCAAGCAAAGUCAAAAUUAAAAUACUAUUGGGGAUACAGCCUCAUGCCCAAAUCAGAUCAGUCAGGUGCCAGUGCAUUACUACUUGGGUCGGUCUGAACAAUGUGAACUCAACUGGUCAGGUGAAGAUCAAUAGUGACCAAAUUUCAAAAGAUGUAGCUGGGGUUGAAGUAAUGGGCUGAUCUACCGCCUGGAAACCGGAGCGGUUCAGGAUCUUCAAACUGGAUCAACUUGGAUCCGAGCAACAAAAAAAGCAAGGCUUACACUAGGAUCCAUGAGCAUGUCUAGAGAGAGAAAGAGCGAGAGGAGAGAGAAUCUCAACUCGGGUUCAACCAGAGGUUUGGGUUUGGUCCGUUGAUGGCAUAGGCCAUCCUGGAUCAUUUUGUCUGGCCCAUAAAUCAGGAGAGAAAAGAGAAUUUGUGAACUAAUCCAUAGCUAAUAAAUGAAUAAAUAAUUGAAAGAAAAUAAAAGGAUAGGGACCUCAUGUCUUCUAACCAAUCUUGUCCUGCUGUCCAUGUGCUAAAUGUCUCAAAGGGGUUUAUUACUCACAAGGCUGGUAGUAUGAUUUAUAAUCAGUUGCUGAAACUACAGGCUUGUUUGGAUAGAGCAAGAUCUAGGCUAAUCCUAUAGGAUUUAACAAUCCUAGGGAUAAAAAUUCAGCAUAGGUUAGAAAUAGGUGUUUGGGUGACUAAUCCUAUAGAUAGCUAACUUGCAGGAACAAGCUUAUCUUGUAGGAUAAAAAUAAAGUGGUCAAGAAGACAUUUUUAAUUGUAUGGUCAUCAGGUUUCACUUCUCAGCCCCAAAAUUUAAGAAGACCCUCUUUCUCUUCCCUUCCCUGCUCCCCAUAGCCAUAGCUUCGGCCACCAUAGAUGACGUGGACUGGUGGAUGGCGGGCUUGCCCCGGUCCAUGUUGUCAACCUCGGGCACCUCCCCACCACACCAAAGCCAACUCCCCUCCGCCCCCGAUUCCGCUUGCAACAGCCACUCUCUCACCUUGCCGAGGUCCUCAUCUCCCAUUUCUGCUCGUCAGGCAUCUUAUCUAUUUGGACUUAUUUGAUGCCGAGUAUGCAGCAUUGAGAUUGAGUUUGGCUUUGCCUUCUCAUCAGUUCUCCACAUCGUCCUCUCCUUUGGCCUCUCUACCACUAUGGCUUCCCAGAUUGGUGCUCCAACCUCUGCCUCUGUGCUACCCUCAACCUCCCCAUCACCGCCAUCUCUAUUCAGAUCGCCUGCCAUGCCUUCUGACCUUGCUCCUAGGGCCCCUGCCUUGCCGACCUUAAGCACCCCCUCCAUCCCACUUGCUUUGCCCUUUGUUGCGCCUCCCUCCUCAUUUCCCUCUUCAGUCACUGCUACAUCCCCUGCCACCUUGCCCUAGCCAGGGACUCCACCUUCGUCAUCGACGAGGCCCGCAUCUCCUGCUAUAGAUUCGAACUUACUGAGUUCUUCCAUAACAAGUCGACCUUUCACCCCUUCCUUCCUUAUUUUAUUUUUCCUUGAUCCAAAUAUAGGAUAAGAUCAGUAAUACAGGAUUUUUCUUCCAAUAAGGGUAUGUUUGGAUUUUUCUUCCAAUAAGGGUAUGUUUGGAUAUUCCUAUAAGAUUAGGUUAAAAAUCCUGCAAGAUUCGUGAAUUGGACGGCUUGUUCAAGCAUGGCUCUAUCAACCAAACACCUCGGAGCACAAAUCCAGAGAGAGAGAGAGAGAGAGAGAGAGAGAGAGAGAGAGAGCUCCAUGGGUCUUUUUUUUUUUCCUUCCUGCAACCUAAAGGCUGAGAUUUGUGUUGGGCUUUGGGCAGGACCUUAAAAGAUAUGAGAUGGGCUAACAAGCUUGAUAUCUGCAGGAUUUUCAACCUCCCUGAGAUUUUAUAUGGAGUCCUGUAGGAUCAAAAUCUGGAUCCCAUGAUAAAUUUUAUUCUAAAGUUAUAAAUUCUUUGUACCCAAACUGGUCCUAAGCAGUAGAAGUACUGGAUCUGCAACUAUAUGUUUCACUGCUAAGUAGGAGGUAGGAUUCAUUCUCUCAUACAAAGACUGAGUCAACAACUAUAUGUUCUGCUGCUGACGACUUUGGCCUUUCGGGUCAAUCUAAGUGUUCAAAUUAUAGGAAAUUUGUGGGUCUCUCACAUUAUUUAAUUUAGCAACAGCCAUGCUGUUACCUAGAUAGUAUUACCCACUACUUUCUUUUUAUAUCAUAUUCUAGCAUCACAGUAAAUUAUCAUUAUGCAAAAAUGAUAACGAAUGGAUAUUCUUUAGCACACGACCUCGGUGAGACACUAUAUGUCGAUGGGGAGCAGGAUAGAUCAAAUGUGGUUUUCAAGGUCUUCUCGGCUGACAUGGCUGCUUUGCUGAUAGGCUUGGACAGAUCACCAAAUCAAUACAAGCUAUGGUAGAAAGUUGGGUUAGAAACAAGUCUUUCAGAAUACUCUUGCGCAGGAUUUGCUGUACCGGCCCAAAUCGGACGGUACAGGGCAUAUUGUACCAUACCGGUUUGGUACCGGUAUCUGUUAUAGGUGGCGUACCAAUACUCGGUUUGUCGAAAAAAAUUUGUAUUGUAUCGUGCUGAUAUUGUGCUAGUGUGGCACCAAAACAAUAAAUCUUGCUCUUGCAUAAGCUUCCUAUGUUUUAUUUUCAAAUGAUGCAAGUGAUCCUUGUCAAGAUCUUCGGAGUUGGCGGGCUUAGUUUUCUCUUUUGCUUCAUCUGUUUCUCGCCCAGCACCACAUUGAACGCCACAAAUCCUAUAGAGGAGGAAUUCAUGUUGAGCGCAUUCCAUAGUGCGUUCGCACUGUGAUGCCGGGUCCUCAUGUCAACGGCGUGCAUCCUGUAUACCAUGCUUAUCUGAGCGUGGUAUGCAUAAUGCAUGACAUCACACGCAUGGGCUCGAAAUCACUGUCCAUGUUCAGAUUGCGCUAGCCACUGAUAGUCGGCAUAUUUUUUUUUAAAAAAAAUGUGGGAUCUAAGCAGGCUGUUGUCCCUGAAACAUGCACCUUCUUUUUUUGCUUAUUAGUAUUUUUUUGUAUGUCACAUGUGAAAGUGUUGCUGCACUUCUUGGAAGCAAUUUAGCUAACGCUUGGUCAUAUUUGAAGUGGGAUACGCAGCAAGAGACCGUAAAAUCUUGGUUUUGCUUCGCUUUUGAAACACUCCCUCUACCCUGCAGAUCAAAUAGUUCCUGUGCAAUAUAUUGGUGCGUUCGUGAUAGGCAAAGCUCAUUUGUUCCUCAAAAUAGAUUGCUUUUUGGUGACUGACCCCGGAAUUGCAUGAGAAGUUGCUCCGAAAGAAACACCCUCCUUCUGAGGCUGAGGUACGUUCUUCGUCUUGUCUGCCCUGUUUUAUUCUAUUGGACGACAACUUGCUUUUUGUCCAAGCAGCUUGUUUUUGAGCGAGUCCUCCAACCCGUUUUGUUCUUAAAACUUUAUAAGAAUCAUAAAUCAUCUGUCCGGCCUAGCGUGUCCAGUGACAGGGUAUUCCAGGAAUAUAAUAUUCAUGUUCCACCUUUUCUUCCCCUCCACAAAGUUUUUUUUAU